rnacentral:rRNA from 1 species
CCCUUAGAUGUUCUGGGCCGCACGCGCGCUACACUGAUGCAUUCAACGAGUCUAAAACCUGGUCUGAUAGGGCUGGGUAAUCUUUUGAAAGUGCAUCGUGAUUGGGAUAGAUGAUUGCAAUUCCUCAUCUUCAACGAGGAAUGCCUAGUAAACGCAAGUCAUCAGCUUGCAUUGAUUACGUCCCUGCCCUUUGUACACACCGCCCGUCGCUCCUACCGAUUGAAUGAUCCGAUGAAUACCAUGGAUUGAGAGUACGAAUGGGUUCGCUCAUUUCUGCUGCUCGAGAAGUGGAGUAAAUCUUAUCAUUUAGAGGAAGGAGAAGUCGUAACA